rnacentral:rRNA from 1 species
UACGGAGGGUGCAAGCGUUAUCCGGAUUCACUGGGUUUAAAGGGUGCGUAGGCGGACAGGUAAGUCAGUGGUGAAAUCCAACGGCUCAACUGUUGAUGUGCCAAUGAUACUGACAGGCUUGAGUACAGACGAGGUAGGCGGAAUUGACAGUGUAGCGGUGAAAUGCAUAGAUAUUGGGAAGAACACCGAUAGCGAAGGCAGCUUGCUAGCCUGUAACUGACGCUGAGGCACGAAAGUGUGGGGAGCAAACAGG